AUGAACACGAACGGAUCUGGUUUGAGCUUGUGUUGCGAGUUGCGACUCCUCUUCUUCUCCACAAAAGCGAUCCUGAUUCGUGCUUCCUUUAGAUUCCGUUCGCUUCUCUCUCUUUGAUUUUGGUCCGGUCUGAGUUGUUGCCGUGUUUGUUGUGGUAUUCUGAGCUGUUGUUGUUAUGCGAUUCGGAUUUGUUAUGGUUAUUAGCUUCUGAGCUAUUGUGGUUGUUGUGUGAUUCGGAUUUGUAGUGAUAUAGAUCCGGAUUUGUGUUGUUGGGUUCGGACUUGUAUUGAUUUGAGGUGUUUAUGUUGUUAUUGUGUGUUUCUGGAAAUGAUUGAGG
rnacentral:lncRNA from 1 species